UNUCCGUCCUCCCGUUUCGGGUUUCGGCUCGUUUCGGGACCAAAGGUCGGCGCGCUCCGCUUUGGUGACUCUGGAUAACUCACUGGUCGAUCGCACGGGCUUCCACGCCCGGCGACGGGU
rnacentral:rRNA from 1 species